CAACUCAGUGGCCCACAGUAAAUGUCAAAUUAAUGAAGACAAAAUGGCUAUAAGGAAAAGGAGUUCCAGGCACUGUGACAGAUUUUUUUUUUUAAGGUUGCCUGUUUUAACACUGAAAACAAUCAGAUAAGGCAAAGGCACACCAUGAUGAGAAGUACCAGGACAGGCAGGAUCACAGCCAGAGCCACUGCUGAGGGGGAGAGACUCCCCACAGAUGGGGCUGAAACAGAAACCACGAACGACUGACCUCAGGGAGAUGUCUAAGAGCUUCUGGCAUGCCUCAGAUGGCAGGCGGCUCCAGCACAUCCCAACUGUCUCCAUCACCUCUAGGGAGAGAGCUCCGGCCAAGAGGCUCUUUGCUUCUCUGAUAACUCAAGGCCUGGAUGGCAUUAAAGAUAACUGAGGCUGGGAACGGUGGCUCACGCCUGUAAUACCAGCACUUUGGGAGGCAGAGGCAGGAGGAUCAUCUGAGAUCAGGAGUUCAAGACCAGCUGGCCAAUGUGGGGAAACUCCGUGUCUACUAAAAAUACAAAAAUUAGCCAGGUGUGGUGGCGGGCACCUGUAAUCCCAGCUCUUCAGGAGGCUGAGGCAGGAGAAUCCCUUGAACCUGGGAGGCAGAGGUUGCAGUGAGCCAAGGUCACGCCAUUGUACUCCAGCCUGGGUGACAAGAGUGAAACUCCAUCUCAAAAAAAAAAAAAAAAAAAAACCAACUGAGAUGUUCCUCUCUUGGGAAUGGUUUGGAUGGUCCUGCCUCAAGAUGAUGACUUAAACAAACUUCUUGACCACAAUCUCAUCCUGCCCUAUAAUUCAAUGGAAAAAUAAGCCCGGGACUUCAGAGGACUGAAGGCACUCUCCUCACUAGACACCUCCAGUCUUCCCAGGAGCACCUGCCUGUUUACCCCUGUCAAUCCUCACUCUGCUCUAGAAGAGCAGGCAGCAACCUCUUUGCCCUGAGCACUGUCCACGGGGGCAAAGCAAUUUCUAUGAUGCCACAGCAGUAGGCCUGAAGCCUAGGCAGGAGAGAAAGGGGAAAAGAAAGAGGAAAUAGAGGAGAGGAAACGAGCAGAAGCGGGCUAUGGGUAGAAGUGGUUAAGAGCCUAAGCUGGGGGUAUGUCCUUGCUCAAUGCUGUGUGACCCGAAGCAGGAGACUGAGUACCUCCAAGCCCAUUGUCCCUCAUCUGUAAAAUGUGCGCAUGACAGGACUCCUUAUCUCUUUGAGGUUUGGAGAGAUUUAAAGAGGUCAGUCAUAUAAAGCAUUCAGUCUCCUAAGUAGCUGGGAUUACAGGAACAUGCCACCAUGCCCGGCUAAUUUUUGUAUUUUUUUGGUAGAGACAAGGUUUUGCCAUGUUGGCCAGGCUGGUCUCCAAUUCGUUUCAAGGAUCAUUAAAAGGUUCAGGCCAGGUGUGGUGACUCACACCUGUAAUCCUAGCACUUUGGGAGGCUGAAGCAGGAGGAUCACUACAGCUCAGGAGUUUCAGACCAGCCUGGGCAGCAUGGUGAGAGCUCAUCUUUAUUAUAAAUAAAAAAGAAAAAAUAAGUAAAA